rnacentral:ncRNA from 1 species
UAUAACAACUACGGCCUAGGUGCCUCCCGUUGGGAGGAGAAUAGGGAAGUCUGAGCAUGGCGACAUGCGUAGGCGCGGACCCACCACUGUACCGGGGAGAACUUACAAUGCCACUCGCAAGGGGAAGGCGUAAGGAUUCAAUGAACCGGGAGCCAGGAGACCUGCCUCUGCCGUUUGAAGACC